rnacentral:rRNA from 1 species
UUAAAUUGAAGAGUUUGAUCAUGGCUCAGAUUGAACGCUGGCGGCAAGCCUAACACAUGCAAGUCGAACGGUAACAGGAAACAGCUUGCUGUUU